UACGUAGGUGGCAAGCGUUGUCCGGGAUUUACUGGGCGUAAAGAGCGUGUAGGCGGUCCGGUAAGUCGGCUGUGAAAGUCCAGGGCUCAACCCUGGGAUGCCGGUCGAUACUGCCGGACUAGAGUUCGGAAGAGGCGAGUGGAAUUCCUGGUGUAGCGGUGAAAUGCGCAGAUAUCAGGAGGAACAGCCGGUGGCGAAGGCGGGUCUCUGGGCCUUACCUGACGCUGAGGAGCGAAAGCGUGGGUAGCGAACAGG
rnacentral:rRNA from 1 species